rnacentral:misc_RNA from 1 species
UGCUCUGCAGGCAAGCUCUCC